rnacentral:rRNA from 1 species
UAGGGAAUAUUGGGCAAUGGAAGCAAUUCUGACCCAGCCAUGCCGCGUGAAGGAAGACGGUCCUAUGGAUUGUAAACUUCUUUUGUUGCAGAGUAAGGACAGCCACGUGUGGUUGUUUGAGAGUAUGCAAGGAAUAAGUAUCGGCUAACUCCGUGCCAGCAGCCGCGGUAAUACGGGGGAUACGAGCGUUAUCCGGAUUUAUUGGGUUUAAAGGGUGCGCAGGCGGAUCGGCAAGUCAGGGGUGAAAAGUUGAGGCUCAACUUCAAUCGUGCCCUUGAUACUGUCGGACUAGAGUGUUAGAGACGUGGCCGGAAUGUGAUGUGUAGCGGUGAAAUGCUUAGAUAUGUCACAGAACACCGAUCGAGAAGUCAGGUCACGAGUUCACAACUGACGCUCAUGCACGAAAGCGUGGGGAUCAAACA